AUCUGGCUGACGAGUCCUAAAUAGGAUGAAACGCGCAUUCUGUAU
rfam:Schistosoma curassoni strain Dakar, Senegal genome assembly, scaffold: SCTD_contig0001718